rnacentral:tRNA from 1 species
GGGCGCUUAGCUCAGUGGGAGAGCGCUUCCUUCACACGGAAGAGGUCACAGGUUCGACCCCUGUAGCGCCCA